GUGGGGAAUUUUGGACAAUGGGGGCAACCCUGAUCCAGCGACGCCGCGUGGAGGAUGAAGGUCUUCGGAUUGUAAACUCCUUUUGGAGGGGAUGAAUGCCCUGGUGAAUAGCCAGGGGUGACAGUACCCUUCGAAUAAGCCACGGCUAACUACGUGCCAGCAGCCGCGGUAAUACGUAGGUGGCAAGCGUUACUCGGAAUCACUAGGCGUAAAGCGCAGGUAGGAGGUUUGGUAAGUCUGUUGUGAAAGCUCCCGGCUUAACUGGGAGAGGUCAACGGAAACUACCAGGCUAGAGUGCGGUAGAGGAAGGUGGAAUUCCCGGUGUAGCGGUGAAAUGCGUAGAUAUCGGGAGGAAUACCUAUGGCGAAAGCAGCCUUCUGGACCGUCACUGACUCUGAUCUGCGAAAGCUAGGGGAGCAAACAGGAUUAGAUACCCGUGUAGUCC
rnacentral:rRNA from 1 species